rfam:Pan troglodytes isolate Yerkes chimp pedigree #C0471 (Clint) chromosome 10, whole genome shotgun sequence.
GUUUUAGUAUAAGUAUGUCCCAUGCAAUAUUUAGGAAUAUUUACACUAAAA